GAUUUCUGACUUGGCGCACCUGGCCCGCCACGGUUACGUGUGUGAGUGCCGGGAUGCGCCUGUCACUUUUCUGGUAAACUAUUCUGCUCUUCAUUGGGUAGGAUAGGUAGCCAGAUAUUUUACUUUGAAAAAAUUAGAGUGUUUAAAGCAGGCGUUUGCUAUGAAUACAUUAGCAUGGAAUAAUAAGUUAGGACUUCGGUUCUAUUUUGUUGGUUUCUAGGACUGAAGUAAUGAUUGAUAGGGAUAGUUGGGGGUGCUAGUAUUCAGCGGCCAGAGGUGAAAUUCUCGGAUUCGCUGAAGACUAACUUAUGCGAAAGCAUU
rnacentral:rRNA from 1 species